AGACCCGAAACCCGGUGAUCUAGCCAUGGGCAGGUUGAAGGUUGGGUAACACUAACUGGAGGACCGAACCGACUAAUGUUGAAAAAUUAGCGGAUGACCUGUGGCUGGGGGUGAAAGGCCAAUCAAACCGGGAGAUAGCUGGUUCUCCCCGAAAGCUAUUUAGGUAGCGCCUCGUGAAUUCAUCUCCGGGGGUAGAGCACUGUUUCGGCUAGGGGGCCAUCCCGGCUUACCAACCCGAUGCAAACUGCGAAUACCGGAGAAUGUUAUCACGGGAGACACACGGCGGGUGCUAACGUCCGUCGUGAAGAGGGAAACAACCCAGACCGCCAGCUAAGGUCCCAAAGUCAUGGUUAAGUGGGAAACGAUGUGGGAAGGCCCAGACAGCCAGGAUGUUGGCUUAGAAGCAGCCAUCAUUUAAAGAAAGCGUAAUAGCUCACUGGUCGAGUCGGCCUGCGCGGAAGAUGUAACGGGGCUAAACCAUGCACCGAAGCUGCGGCAGCGACGCUUAUGCGUUGUUGGGUAGGGGAGCGUUCUGUAAGCCUGUGAAGGUGGCCUGUGAGGGUUGCUGGAGGUAUCAGAAGUGCGAAUGCUGACAUAAGUAACGAUAAAGCGGGUGAAAAGCCCGCUCGCCGGAAGACCAAGGGUUCCUGUCCAACGUUAAUCGGGGCAGGGUGAGUCGACCCCUAAGGCGAGGCCGAAAGGCGUAGUCGAUGGGAAACGGGUUAAUAUUCCCGUACUUGGUGUUACUGCGAAGGGGGGACGGAGAAGGCUAUGUUGGCCGGGCGACGGUUGUCCCGGUUUAAGCGUGUAGGUGUGUGUUCCAGGUAAAUCCGGUUCACUUUAACACUGAGGCGUGACGACGAGGCACUACGGUGCUGAAGCAACAAAUGCCCUGCUUCCAGGAAAAGCCUCUAAGCAUCAGGUAACAUCAAAUCGUACCCCAAACCGACACAGGUGGUCAGGUAGAGAAUACCAAGGCGCUU
rnacentral:rRNA from 1 species